AUGCAUACACAAGUUUUUUUUAUGAGACCUGCAACAUGUUCUUAUUUAGCAUCCGUUAUUGUUCCAUCUUAUGAAUGUCAGAGUGCCAUACUUGUUGAUGUAGAAUAUCAAUACUACUUGUUUCCUUGUACCUUGAAGGACCUCAUACUUCAUUCUCUCUAUGAUGUCACUGCAAUUAUUUUUCUUCCUUUUUACGGAACAACAAAUUUGAAAAUCAUUAGCUUCCUAGUCUACAAUGAAAUAAAUGGGAAAGCUAACAUGGCAGUUUCCAGCAAGACUAUUUUAGAGCGCACUGCAACUGUUUGA
rnacentral:rRNA from 1 species